rnacentral:rRNA from 1 species
GUGGAUUGCACCAGAAGUAGGUAGCUUAACCGCAAGGGGGGCGCUUACCACGGUGUGAUUCAUGACUGGGGUGAAGUCGUAACAAGGUAGCCGUAGGUGAACCUGCAGAAGGWUCA